GGAAGUAAAAGUCGUAACAAGGUUUCCGUAGGUGAACCUGCGGAAGGAUCAUUAACGAUUUGCAAAACAUGCAAAAACUGGAGCGCACACACGCGCGGCACACACACACACACACUGGGUGUCGCGUGCGGUUUUGUGUGCAGUAACAACACUCAUCCUCCCGACGAGUUCGGGAUGGAUAUAUUGCAAAGGCCAUCGUGGUUGUGGCUUGGCGCGAGGGAGCGUGUGUGUGGUUAGUAGCACACGGGGACGACGAAGUAGUCGUCCUCCGCCACGAACGAUGUAAAACAAACGCCCACUGGCUUCUCAUAUAUUAAAGUUUAUCUCUCGCCAUGGCAUACACGCCUGGCACCUGGUACGAGACUCUCGCAGUCUCUAAAACCACCUUACAACUCUGAGCGGUGGAUCACUUGGCUUGUGGAUGCUAUGAAGACCAUAGCUAAGUGUGAGAAUGGCAGCGAGCCGUCGCUAUAUGCGCUGUCCUCUUCUUAUCACAUGUCGAAUGCACAUUGCGCCCCACCCAGUGGUUGGCUAAACAACCUGCAGACAAAAGCCUGUGCGUUGGAACAAAGGCAAAUGUGUGGCCCUCGAGCAACGGCGGGGGAGCCAGGAGCACAGGCGCGUGCGUUCCAGCCACUCGUAAGUAGUCAGGCCGACCCUAUGGUGGGGCACUCCUAGUCGAGUGUGGUGGAUCGAACUCAUCUCCUGCCACGGGGCUAGAGCUUGAGUUUCUUUGUUGCUUGGUGGCAUUUGGGUCGACAUCAGUCGCGCCCGUAAACAACUGCCUUGGCUCGUGCCUCUGUGCUGUGUCCUCACGUCAGGCGCGUACAUUGAAGGCCAUAGCUGGCGAUCACUCUUGCGACCAGGGCACACCGAUUGUGGUGUGCGCAGCGGUCCGAAAGGUUCUUACGAGUGUUGUGUUUGCGUCGGACCAGUCUCAUAACUUAACUCUGUUCUGCUGCUUUGGCUUCCGUCAAGCUCUCUCUGGUGAAGGUUCGUGUCUCACACUCGUAGUAGUCGGGAACGAUUCCUUAACAAGAAAUGCCUCGCGCGCUCCUCAGACUCCCGACGAGUUCGGGUAUGACGGUUCGUUUGCGGGUGCGGAAAGAGAAAACCGGAUGUUGAGCUUGCACACACAUCAAGUGGCAUGAUAAGGAGAGAGGCAGACCGACUCUACAAGCACGCACAUGCGUAAGUUUUUGCUUGCCACCACCUCGACUUAGGAGAGGUUACCCGCUGAACUUAAGCAUAUCAGUAAGCGGAGGAAAAGAAACCAAUCAGGGAUUCCCUCAGUAGGGGCGACCGAACAGGGAUGAGCCCAGCGCAGAACCUCCCGGGCCACCCGGCCUGCGGCGGAAUGUUGCGUUAAGGGAAAGGUCGUAGUCAAACCCCGCAGCCACGCGAGCUCUAAGUAAGCCACGAAUCGGCUGUCCCAACUAACGGCGGGAAAGUCUCCACGGAGGGUGUAAGACCCGUGUGGGCGCGUGUAAAUGCUGUGUGGGCUCGGCCUCUUUUCCCUGAGAGUCGCGUUGCUUGAGCAUGCAGCGCUAAGCAGGUCGUAAACUCGAUCUAAGGCUAAAUAUGUCCACAAGACCGAUAGCGAACAAGUACCGUGAGGGAAAGUUGAAAAGCACUCUGAAGAGAGAGUCAAAAGACCGUGAAACCGCUCAGAGU
rnacentral:rRNA from 1 species